rnacentral:rRNA from 1 species
UGGCUCAGGACGAACGCUGGCGGCGUGCCUAACACAUGCAAGUCGAGCGGGGACAUACGACGGACAGGAAGUUUUCGGAUGGAAUGGAAGAUGUAUGUUCUAGCGGCGGACGGGUGAGUAACGCGUGAGCAACCUGUCCCUUACAGGGGGAUAACACAGCGAAAGCUGUACUAAUACCGCAUAAGACCACAGAGAGACAUCUCACAGGGGUCAAAGGAGCAAUCCGGUAAGGGGUGGGCUCGCGUCCGAUUAGAUAGUUGGUGAGGUAACGGCUCACCAAGUCGACGAUCGGUAGCCGGACUGAGAGGUUGAACGGCCACAUUGGGACUGAGACACGGCCCAGACUCCUACGGGAGGCAGCAGUGGGGGAUAUUGCACAAUGGGCGAAAGCCUGAUGCAGCAACGCCGCGUGAGGGAAGACGGUUUUCGGAUUGUAAACCUCUGUCUUUGGUGAAGAAGAAAGUGACGGUAGCCAAGGAGGAAGCCACGGCUAACUACGUGCC